UACGUAGGGGGCAAGCGUUGUCCGGAAUCAUUGGGCGUAAAGCGCGUGUAGGCGGCUCGAUAAGUCCGUUCUGAAAGUCCAGGGCUCAACCCUGGGAUGCCGGUGGAUACUGUCGGGCUCGAGUCCGGAAGAGGAGUGUGGAAUUCCUGGUGUAGCGGUGAAAUGCGCAGAUAUCAGGAGGAACACCAAUGGCGAAGGCAGCACUCUGGGACGUGACUGACGCUGAGACGCGAAAGCGUGGGGAGCGAACAGG
rnacentral:rRNA from 1 species